rnacentral:lncRNA from 1 species
GUUCCCUUGUCUGCAGCCUCAGUGACUGCUUUGCUUCUCAGUUCAUCAGCUCUUUAGGGAGCUCAAUGUGUGAAAGGAUAUCAAAUAUCAGGCUGCAGUUCCCUUGUCUUCAUUUGGAGCUGUAGUUAGCCCUCGGGACAUGUAUAGCAAAUCUUAGUCAAGCGAAACAUUCAUCCUGAAAGAAGCCACUAGAGGAAAUCUAGCCAAAAGUAGGCUGUAUAUCAGGCGGUUCCCCCUCUACCCUCCCUCUUCCGUUUUGAUGAUGGUGCUUUUUGUUGUGGCUUUUGCUUUUCAGCACUCACAGUGGUCUGCCAGGAAAGCAGGGAGAAGAGGCUGCAGCCAGUAUUUCCAGAGCUGAGCAUCUGUAGAUGAAUAAUAAUUGUCUUCUCCACAGUGUGGCUUGGCAGGAGGAAUCCCACACCUGGUGCUAGACCCUGUUUCUAAGGCUCAUCCUUGGGAAGAUAAAUGAACAUCUUUAGAGUCUCUGGGUACAAGGAGGAUGCCAGGGCAGGAAAUCUCAGCAGGGAAUUCUCGUCGCACCUUCCCCCUAGUUUUGUGAGGCAGAUCAGGGCAAGAUGUGGAUGCUGACAGUAGAUACAGUGAAGGAUGUUUCUUCAGAGAGGCUGCAGAAGAAAAAUGGGAUUUUCAUCCAGCCUUCUCACAAAACACCUAUAAAGGAAGGAUCUGUGUAAAAUAAUUUUAUUGAUCUGGUCUAUUUUAGAGGGGAAAAACAGAACAACCUUCCAAACACACCACACUACACCACACCACAGAUUUACAAGUCUCUUUAACCAAAAGGAGAAAUGUUGGGUUUCCCCAGUAACUGGAAAAAUAUGCAAGAGGAUGGUGUGAAUUGUUUGCAUGUUUUCUAGCUGUUUCUAUGGAUAAAUGAUCACAACAGAAUUGCAAAGAGCUGCGUUAAAGCUGUUUUUCUGGAUCAAAACUUUUUGAACACUUAAACCUGACAGGGCGAAGCGUGUUACACUGCUGUGACUUCAAGACAAACCUGAAUUCAAUGAACUAGGCUGGCUAUGGAGGGUUGAAGACUGCCAGCAGUGUGG